rnacentral:rRNA from 1 species
AUGGCAUCGCCGUCACCGUGGCCUGAAAAGCUCCUCGGUCCCAUCAUCGCCGGCCUCCGCGCAACGUGCCGUUCGUGCCCCAGCGUUCCAUCGCCGCCGCCGUGGUCCGAACUCCCACUGGACCUCCUAGGCCUCAUCGUCGCCGAGCUCCCAGACCCGGCCGACCGCGCCCACUUCAGCUCCGUGUGCCGUUCCUGGCGCUCGGCCCCCUACCCCGACACACGGCAGCUACCGUGGGUCGACGCUGUGUGCCGUUCCUGGUACUCCGUUUCGUCUCCCACCUUCGAUCAGCGUCGACCGCCUACCAAUAUCGUCACCCCCGACCUCCCAACGCCAGCCACCACCAUGGCGCCAUAUCUGGCGCUCGGUCUUCUCCCGGCGGCGGCAACAUCCGUGGGUCGUGCUCCCGGGCGGCUUCUUCCUCGAAGACCUCCCUCCGCAGUUGUCCGACGUCUGGCCGGAACCGACCGCCUCCUUCCCCGAGAACCUGCGGUGCGUCGGCUCCACCGGCAGCUGGCUCGCCCUCGACCGCACGGACGGCGAGGGAAGGCAUGCCUACUUCUUGCACGAUCCUUUCUCUAG